rnacentral:rRNA from 1 species
AUGAACGCUGGCGGCGUGCCUAAUACAUGCAAGUCGAACGCUUCACUUCGGUGAAGAGUGGCGAACGGGUGAGUAAUACAUAAGUAACCUGGCAUCUACAGGGGGAUAACUGAUGGAAACGUCAGCUAAGACCGCAUAGGUGUAGAGAUCGCAUGAACUCUAUAUGAAAAGUGCUACGGGACUGGUAGAUGAUGGACUUAUGGCGCAUUAGCUUGUUGGUAGGGUAACGGCCUACCAAGGCGACGAUGCGUAGCCGACCUGAGAGGGUGACCGGCCACACUGGGACUGAGACACGGCCCAGACUCCUACGGGAGGCAGUAGUAGGGAAUUUUCGGCAAUGGGGGAAACCCUGACCGAGCAACGCCGCGUGAAGGAAGAAGUAAUUCGUUAUGUAAACUUCUGUCAUAGAGGAAGAACGGUGGAUAUAGGGAAUGAUAUCCAAGUGACGGUACUCUAUAAGAAAGCCACGGCUAACUACGUGCCAGCAGCCGCGGUAAUACGUAGGUGGCGAGCGUUAUCCGGAAUUAUUGGGCGUAAAGAGGGAGCAGGCGGCACUAAGGGUCUGUGGUGAAAGAUCGAAGCUUAACUUCGGUAAGCCAUGGAAACCGUAGAGCUAGAGUGUGUGAGAGGAUCGUGGAAUUCCAUGUGUAGCGGUGAAAUGCGUAGAUAUAUGGAGGAACACCAGUGGCGAAGGCGACUAACUGGACUGUAACUGACGCUGAGGCGCGAAAGUGUGGGGAGCAAACAGGAUUAGAUACCCUGGUAGUCCACACCGUAAACGAUGAUUACUAGGUGUUGGAGGAUUGACCCCUUCAGUGCCGCAGUUAACACAAUAAGUAUUCCACCUGGGGAGUACGAUCGCAAGAUUGAAACUCAAAGGAAUUGACGGGGGCCCGCACAAGCGGUGGAGCAUGUGGUUUAAUUCGAAGCAACGCGAAGAACCUUACCAGGUCUUGACAUCGAUCUAAAGGCUCCAGAGAUGGAGAGAUAGCUAUAGAGAAGACAGGUGGUGCAUGGUUGUCGUCAGCUCGUGUCGUGAGAUGUUGGGUUAAGUCCCGCAACGAGCGCAACCCCUGUUGCCAGUUGCCAGCAUUAAGUUGGGGACUCUGGCGAGACUGCCGGUGACAAGCCGGAGGAAGGCGGGGAUGACGUCAAAUCAUCAUGCCCCUUAUGACCUGGGCUACACACGUGCUACAAUGGACAGAGCAGAGGGAAGCGAAGCCGCGAGGUGGAGCGAAACCCAUAAAACUGUUCUCAGUUCGGACUGCAGUCUGCAACUCGACUGCACGAAGAUGGAAUCGCUAGUAAUCGCGAAUCAGCAUGUCGCGGUGAAUACGUUCUCGGGCCUUGUACACACCGCCCGUCACACCAUGAGAGUCGGUAACACCCGAAGCCGGUGGCCUAACCGCAAGGAAGGAGCUGUCUAAGGUGGGACUGAUGAUUGGGGUG